UACGGGGGGUGCGAGCGUUGUCCGGAAUCACUGGGCGUAAAGGGCGCGUAGGUGGUUUGAUAAGGGUGUGGUGAAAGUCCGGAGCUCAACUCCGGAUCUGCCGUGCCGACUGUCAAACUCGAGGGCUGUAGAGGCAGACGGAAUUCCGGGUGUAGCGGUGGAAUGCGUAGAGAUCCGGAGGAAGACCGGUGGCGAAGGCGGGUCUCUGGGCCGAUACUGACGGCUGAGGAGCGAAAGCGUGGGGAGCAAACAGG
rnacentral:rRNA from 1 species